CUUAGCCCUACGGAGACAAACUCCCUCAACUCCCGAGGAGCACCGCCACCCACCUACCUCUCCUCGUUGUGCCAAACCAGCCAACCACCCAGUCCCACUCCAGAUCCAUCCAUCCUGACCGUUGGAUCAAGAUCCGAUGUCCAGGAGGUGUCCCCUGCAGCUCCCCAUUCACAGUCUCCUCGAUCCGAUCUAGAUCGGGAGGAAGUCCUGGGAGCUGCCCAAGCCAUGCGCUCGCCGCCCACCGGUCGCCACCGACGACCAGCACCCCGGUCAGCAAGACGAACAUGGCGCCACCGCAAGCAAGCGCCGCCGUCGCUGGUCGCCUCUAGCCAUUCUGGUCAAAAACCGAACCCGAGCAAACUCCUCGUCCAAGAUCCGGCCUUCCCCAUGCUCUCCUUCCCAGCCGCGUCCAUGCCUACGCCGUUGACCUGCUUGAACCUCCAUGGUCGUCCUCCUCUGUUUCGUUGAUGAGCAUCGUGACAGCCGCCCCAAACUCUGCCCGUGCCACCUCACCGGAGAGCGCCUCCCCCAACCGGUUCCUCAUCUCUGACCUUUGAGCGCUGCCUCAAUGCCGAGGCUUGCCUUCGUUGAGCGCCGCCUCAAGCACAGCCAAGCUGACCCAGUAUUGCUCUUGUUUCAAUCAGAUUCAGAUAUAACAUGUUGUUUUUUUAGUUUUGUUCAGGUUUAGAGGAAUAUAUGUUUAUUAAGGGAAGCACAUGCAUUUUUUCCUUCACCAUAGGGCACUGCUAGGCCCCGGCGCGCCGGCCCAAGUAGUUGCGCUGGUCGUGCCCUAGCACUAUAGGAGGACAUAGCUUUGGUAACAUAGUGUUAUGUUACUAUAGGCCAUAAAUAGUGUUACUAGGUCCACUAGUAACACAUUUUGAAAUGUGUUCUAUUAGACCGUGUUACUAAGUGAUGUUCAUUGUCACACAUAGUUAAUGUUACUAUAUAUUAAAAAUUGUGUUACAAUUACAUUAUAGUAACAUGCAUAUUAUGUGUUACCAAACGAGACAGUAACACAUUUUUGUACCUAUAGUAACACAUUUUCGUAAACAUAAAACUUGGUGGUAACAUGUUUUUGGAACUAUGGUAACACAAUUGGUAACACAAUUUCUAGCUUCAAAACAUAACUAGUAACACAAUAUCCAAAUAUCGUAACACUAUGAUUCAUAGUUGUUGACUAAGCUGGUAACACAUAUUGUAACUAGAUAUUGUAACUAUAAUAACACCAUCUGUAACACCACUAUAUUAGUAUGGCAAAAAAAUUAAUAUAUUUCUUUUUUUAAUUAUUAACAAAAAAUUAUAUACCCAUUUAUAUAUUUAUUUAAUGAUAUCAUUACAAUUUCUCAAAUAGUUAAUUGGUUAAUUUGAUACUUGGCACCAUUUAAAUGAUAGAGAAACUGAAGCACAAAUAAAAAAUACCAAGAUGUUUAUUACAAAUAUACAACAGUGAAGAUACAUAUGCAUUACAACAAAUGAAGACCAAUAUUACUUCUGCCACAACAUAUCAUUCAUAUUGUUUUCACUACGGAAAACACAUCCAUGAAGAAUAUUACACCAUAGUAUUCAAAUGGAUCCUAUCUAUCAAUGUAAACUAUAGUUAUUGCAAAUAAAAUCUUGAAAUUUUAUUUGCUUCUUGAUCCAAACGGAGAAUUCAGCUGCAACUCGAUUAUCCUUCUUUCCAAUCUGUAAAAGAAAAUUGGACCUUAUAGUUAUGUGAUCUAAUGCACACAAAUAUGAUUUUAGAAUAUAGAAGAAAAGACUUUAACUUGCAAAAAGUGAAGGCCACACAAGUAAGUAUCCCGAAGCAAAAGCAUCACCAAAUUUCUUGCAAUCAGAAACUUCCCUUACUAACUCAUUGUGAAGAAUAGGUUCAUCUAUGUGCACAAGUGCAAAUUCGGCGCCUAACACAAUACCUCCAGCCUGUUCAAUCAGUAUUCCAAAUAGUAGCAUAUGAAACAUUCCGAUUGUUGUAGAAGACCGUCAUGACCAUUCCUGUUCGUUAGGGAUACCCAUUCAGGCUGCAAGUGGGACUAAUAGCGGGAUGCGCACUUACGCCCAUGCCUGUACAUAUCUAUUAUGCGGGUAUUCCCGGGCAUCCCACAGUUAACCAUGUUGCAUCUGCUUGCCCCCAUAAUCCCAAUAAUCUCGCAUCGUAGUAAGAUGGUGUGCUGUUGUAUUAAGAGUGUUCAUAAUCACAACGUGUCAGAUGUGUGUCGAACACAAGCACACAUACAACUAUCAAUCGGGACACUACAUGAGCAAGCACAUGCAAAGUAAGUGAUGAGGACAUCAAUACCAUUGCUACACCCACAGCACCAGCUGCUAUACAUACUGGACCAGUUACUAGAGCUCGU